rnacentral:rRNA from 1 species
GAUGAACGCUGGCGGCGUGCCUAAUACAUGCAAGUCGAGCGAACAGACGGGGAUCUUUCUUCGCUGACGUUAGCGGCGGACGGGUGAUUCACACGUGGAUGACCUACCUAGAAGGCUAACGUAACUUCGGGAACCCUGAUCUAAUACCGGAUCAGAUAUUGAACCGCGUGGUUCAUUGGUGCACAACCUUUUUGCUGUCCCUUGUUGGGAGAACCUCGCCGCAUUAGCUAGUUGGUAAGGUAACGGCUUACCAAGGCAACGAUGCGUAGCCGACCUGAGAGGGUGAUCGGCCACACUGGAACUGAGACACGGUCCAGACUCCUACGGGAGGCAGCAGUAGGGAAUAUUCGGCAAUGGGCGAAAGCCUGACGGAGCAACGCCGCGUGUGUGAUGAAGGUCUUCGGAUCGUAAAGCUCUGUUAUUAGGGAAGAACAAAUGUGUAAGUAUAUCUGCAUGUCUUGACGGUACCAACACAGAAAGCAACGGCUAACUACGUG